CCUACGGGUGGCAGCAGUGAGGAAUAUUGGUCAAUGGACGCAAGUCUGAACCAGCCAUGCCGCGUGCAGGAAGACGGCCCUAUGAGUUGUAAACUUCUUUUGUACGAGGGUAAACGCAGACACGCGUAUCUGUCUGAAAGUAUCGUACGAAUAAGGAUCGGCUAACUCCGUGCCAGCAGCCGCGGUAAUACGGAGGAUUCAAGCGUUAUCCGGAUUUCUUGGGUUUAAAGGGUGCGUAGGCGGUCUGAUAAGUUAGAGGUGAAAUCCCGAGGCUCAACUUCGGAAUUGCCUGUGAUACUGGUGGGCUUGAGUGUAGUUGAGGUAGGCGGAAUGUGUGGUGUAGCGGUGAAAUGCUUAGAGAUCAUACAGAACACCGAUUGCGAAGGCAGCUUACCAAGCUACUUCUGACGUUGAGGCACGAAAGCGUGGGGAGCAAACAGGAUUAGAUACCCGAGUAGUC
rnacentral:rRNA from 1 species